UAGGGAAUAUUGGACAAUGGGUGAGAGCCUGAUCCAGCCAUGCCGCGUGCAGGAAGAAGGCGUUAUGCGUUGUAAACUGCUUUUUGCCAGGGGAUAAAAAGACCGUGCGCGGUUAAUUGAAGGUACCUGGUGAAUAAGCCACGGCUAACUACGUGCCAGCAGCCGCGGUAAUACGUAGGUGGCAAGCGUUGUCCGGAUUUAUUGGGUUUAAAGGGUGCGUAGGUGGCCCUGUAAGUCAGUGGUGAAAUAUCUCAGCUUAACUGAGAGGGUGCCAUUGAUACUGCAGGGUUUGAGUACAGAUGAGGUAGGCGGAAUUGACGGUGUAGCGGUGAAAUGCAUAGAUAUCGUCAAGAACACCGAUAGCGAAGGCAGCUUACCAAGCUGUAACUGACACUGAGGCACGAAAGUGUGGGGAUCAAACAGGAUUAGAUACCCACGUAGUCCCUGAGCGGGCUGGCAAGGCGCAU
rnacentral:rRNA from 1 species